AUAAGUGAAGUUGCCGAACGCUGGAAACAGCGGUUAGGGGCUUACACCCACCCGUGUCUACAUACUCUUGUUGCUUUGGCGGGCCGUGGCCUCCGCUGCGGGCUCUGCUCGCAUGUGCCCGCCAGAGGAUCAAACUCUGAAUGUUAGUGGUGUCUGAGUACUAUUUAAUAGUUA
rnacentral:misc_RNA from 1 species